CUCAACUUUUUAGUGCCGCCAACAUCUCCUUCAUUUAUUUACUUCAAUCGCUUCUCUCGUUUUCACUUUUCUCCUUCCGCCUCCGACAGAUUUACUGAGAUUGACAUCUAGAAGACUUGUUUGGGAAACCAAGGCCCACUCAUUAACGACCAUGGCCACCAAUGAAUGUAUGGGCAGUGUGAAAGGACAGUUAGCAAAACUGUUUGAUGUUUCACUUAAAGUAACUGUUCCUAAUGAGCCGGAUGUAAAGCCACUGGUAGCUGCAUGCAAUGG